rnacentral:misc_RNA from 1 species
GAUGAUUCAUGCAAUUCUCUGUCACACAUGGUUGGUCAAAGACUGAUUCAAAAGCCCGUCAAGAACAACUUCAAAAAUAUAAACUAUCAGCACAACCUUUCAAAGCCUUAUUGGCCUUUAAAGGCUCUGCAGACUUCUGCUGAUAGUUUAUAUUCUUAUAUUUGUUCUUGGACGGCUUUUGAAUCAGCCUUGACCAGCCCUGUAAGACCAGGAACUGCAUAGAUGGCUCGUAGGGCUCGCCGAUAUGAUUCUGAAGAAAAAACAUUGAUGAAAAUGCCGGUGCUCAAGAUACACCAAAAACAAGUCAAUGGGGAUAACUGAACAAAACAAAACUUUCAAGUUGCAGAACCAAUCUGAAAGAGAACACAAGGGAAAAUUCAUCACACAUUGUUCUUCAAAGGUAAAAUCAAAUUAACCACUUGUAUCUUGUGAAUUAUAACAAGAAGUGAUAUAAUGAGCCCAUCUGCGGGCCAAACCUAAUUCUCCUGUAAUCUUUUGUAGUUAUAUUCCUACCAGUCAGAUCCUUCAGGGAAAGGCUCCAAUGCAUCGUGCUUUCCAUUAACAUAGAAUUCUACAACAGCUUUCAUUCUUGGAAGUUUAUCUGGGUGGUAGUUUACAUGAACAAUUACUGGCUUCAACUUCUUUAGCCUAGCAUCUUUCCUCACAGUCUUGAAAAGGACCUUACUGUUCAUAAAUAGAUAGAAAUCCAUAGUUCUCUUGGCAGCAUGAAGCCCAUCAUACCCAGGAUGUGAAGGGAAAAAGAGCUCCUCGUUGAACACUGCUUGGUCCCAUGAGUUUCGCUGCUGAGACAAACGAUCAGCCACACGAUCCAAAAGCUCAAUUGAAGGAAUUGUAGGCCUUAUAUAAAAGAAACCAGAGUUAUAAACCCAUAUCCUCAUUGUAUGA